AGCGGCGGACGGGUGAGUAACGCGUGGGCAACCUGCCUUGCACAGGGGGAUAACACAGGGAAACUUGUGCUAAUACCGCAUAACAUCACGGGGAGGCAUCUUCCUGUGAUCAAAGGAGAAAUCCGGUGCAAGAUGGGCCCGCGUCCGAUUAGCUAGUUGGCGGUGUAACGGACCACCAAGGCGACGAUCGGUAGCCGAACUGAGAGGUUGAUCGGCCACAUUGGGACUGAGACACGGCCCAGACUCCUACGGGAGGCAGCAGUGGGGAAUAUUGCGCAAUGGAGGAAACUCUGACGCAGCAACGCCGCGUGAAGGAUGAAGGUCUUCGGAUUGUAAACUUCUUUGAUGAGGGACGAAGGAAGUGACGGUACCUCAAAAACAAGCCACGGCUAACUACGUGCCAGCAGCCGCGGUAAUACGUAGGUGGCGAGCGUUGUCCGGAAUUACUGGGUGUAAAGGGCGCGUAGGCGGGGAUGUAAGUCAGAUGUGAAAUACCAUGGCUCAACCGUGGGGCUGCAUCUGAAACUAUGUUUCUUGAGUGCUGGAGAGGAAAGCGGAAUU
rnacentral:rRNA from 1 species